rnacentral:rRNA from 1 species
CAAGAGCGUAUGUAAAAGUUGUUGCAGUUAAAAAGCUCGUAGUUGAACCUUGGGUUUGGUUGGCCGGUCCGCUUUUUUGCGAGUACUGGAUUCAACCGAGCCUUUCCUUCUGGCUAACCAGUCGUUUCGGCGGCUGGCGAACCAGGAUUUUUACUUUGAGAAAAUUAGAGUGUUCAAAGCAGGCAUUAGCUUGAAUAUAUUAGCGUGGAAUAAUAGAAUAGGACGUUAUGGUUCUAUUUUGUUGGUUUCUAGGACCAUCGUAAUGAUUAAUAGGGACGGUCGGGGGCAUCAGUAUUCAGUUGUCAGAGGUGAAAUUCUUGGAUUUACUGAAGACUAACUACUGCGAAAGCAUUUGCCAAGGACGUUUUCAUUAA